rnacentral:rRNA from 1 species
GAUGAACGCUAGCGGCAGGCCUAAUACAUGCAAGUCGAACGGGUGGUCGCAAGACCCCUAGUGGCGCACGGGUGCGAACCGCAAAACCAACCUCCCCCGUUCCGGGGCAUAGCCAGCCGAAAGCCGGUUUAAUACCGCAUAUACCCGCAGCCUGGCUUCAGGAACCGGGGAAAGAUUUAUUGCAUGGGGUGGGGGUUGCCGGACAUUAGCAUGUUGGCGGGGUAGGUGCCCACCAGGGCGAGGAUGCCGCGGGGACCGGAGAGGGUGAUCCUCAACACUGGCACUGAGAUACAGGCCAGCCUCCUGCGAGAGGCAGCAGUAGGGAAUCUGGGGCAACGGACGAGAGCCUGACCCAGGCAGGCCGCGUGCCGGAUGAUGGCCUUCUGAGUUGUAAACGGCUUUUCUCAGGGAAGAAAAAGACCUUGCGAGGUACACUGACGGUACCUCAGGAAUAAGCACCGGCUAACUCCGUG